UCAAAUUGAAGGUCUUGGAAUGUAGUUUCCAACACUCUUAACCGUUUUCUCAUACGACACCCGGAUAAAAAGUUAUAAGCAUUGCAAGAUGAGCCAAUUAUAGGGUGCCAAGUAGCACCUUUUGACUUUUCAACAAAAUGGAGAUUAUCUCCUUUAUCUCGUCUCUUUCUGCAUAUUUCCAGAGAGCACGACCAAAUAAUACCCCUAACAUCCUCCUUAAGCUCUCUACAAGGGUUUCAAAUAAUACCAUCAUCCCGGGCACGAAAUCACGAAGCAAUAACACAAGAACGAUCCCCACGACGUAAGUAUUGCUAUAUAACCUUUCUUUUUCUUUAUAGUUUGAGUGUUGGAAGGUAUUUAUAGUUAAGAAAAUUCUUAAUUUCUUGUUUUAAGCUCUUAAAUAUCAAUUAAGGUUGAUUAAUUCAUUUCAUAAUAUUUAGAACUCACGGGAACGUGAUCGGAAGCCGUGAGUUCGAGUUAUUUGAUUUGUAAUGGACUGUUUUGUGGGCUAUUUUGUGUAGCUUUUGGGCUAUAUCUUUUGCUGAUAUUUAAUGGAGUUUUUUGAGGAUGAAUGGUUUGAAGAAACACCACAUAUUUGUGAAAUAAUGGAUUAGGCAUUCUUUGUAAUAUUUUCGGGGUGUUGGACACUACUAUAGUCGUUGUUUUUGGUAUGAAUUGAUUGGGGUGUGUUGGGCUGUUGUAAGCUAAAUAUAAUAUAGAUUUUGACUUGCAUCUACUGUAGGAGGUAAUUAUAUCAUGUUCCAACAAGUGCUUAAGGUUAUAUUGACAUCGGUUGAGUUAAAUGGAUGAACUAGACAUGAACUAGUGAAUAAAGUUGCUAAUUAAGAAUAAUUGGAGUUGUGGAUCAUUUUCUUUGUUAUGGAUAUAUGGUAUAAGGUUGGAAUUAUUGAUUAAUGACUUCAUUAUCAUGUUAAUGAUACUAUUAAUUUAAAGUAAAAGUCUAUAAGGGAUAUACGAAUUCCAAUUGGAGCUUGUCGCUCGUCGUAAAAUAGUUAUGACUUGUUGUAGUUUUAUGGUGUCUUGUUAUUGAUAAUUGGUAUUGAUGGAUUUCUCUGGUAAUUCUUGUUGGUAUAUGGUAUUGGAGUAGGCUCUUGUUACUGGGGAGAUGCUGCCCGGAUUUAUAUAAAUAAGCUACAAGUUUAAGUUGCAAACUUAGCCUUUAUUCAACACG
rnacentral:lncRNA from 1 species